rnacentral:rRNA from 1 species
CAGUAGCCGCGGUAAUACGAAGGGUGCAAGCGUUAAUCGGAAUUACUGGGCGUAAAGCGUGCGUAGGCGGUUUGUUAAGUCUGUUGUGAAAUCCCCGGGCUCAACCUGGGAAUGGCAAUGGAUACUGGCAAGCUAGAGUGUGUCAGAGGAUGGUGGAAUUCCCGGUGUAGCGGUGAAAUGCGUAGAGAUCGGGAGGAACAUCAGUGGCGAAGGCGGCCAUCUGGGACAACACUGACGCUGAGGCGCGAAAGCGUGGGGAGCAAACAGGAUUAGAUACCCCCGUAGUCCCUGUCUCUUAUAC